rnacentral:lncRNA from 1 species
CCCUGGAACUUGCUGGUUUGCAGGUCGCUCCUGAUUAGAAGGCCACCAGCUGUUCUGCUUCCAGAUUCAAUUCCGAGAACACCGAAAAAAAAAAAUCAUCUAGUUUCUCUAGUUUCUUCUCUUUUCUUCCCCGGGGGCAUUUUCUUCUUUGAUUCCUUUUCCUCCCUGCUCUUUCUCCUUCUCUUGUUUUUACAGUCUCCCGGUAAUGACUAAUUGGCUGUGUUUCCCAACUUUUUUAUGUUUCUCUUGCUCUUGUUACUAGCGGUACUAACCCCGUGAUAUCCACAGGGACCUAUAGACAGCCAACAUUCCCAAGUGACAUACAGCAUUCUCUUUUCUUUCAAAGCGCAAAACAUUUACAAGGAAAUGUACAAAUGUAUUAGGCACAUUUCCCGGGUCGGUCAUUAGAGCGCCUCUGCGCCGGGGUGGGCCCCUUCACCCUCCCCCUCCUCCGACCCCAACGGUCCCCUCUGGAGCGCGCGUUUCCGCGUGCCAGCGGGACGGCCCGCGAGACCGCAAUUGCUCUGGCCGGGAUUGACGAGCCUCGGAUGCCCAUUUACUGCGCGCGGCAGCCACUCUGGAGCCGCGGCACAUCUGGAUGGAGUCAGCCGCUGAGCGCCAGGGGCCAGCGCAGUGCGGCGGCGAGCUAGGGAGGCCGGCGCCCAGGCCGCCUCCGCGCUGCCCCCGUGCGCCCGGGCUGGAUUUCCUGAUGUAAACAGAGCGGCCCUGCAGGAACACAGCCGCUCUGCUCCCCGUGUCACUGAGCGUGCUUUAUCUGCUCAGGGUCAACAUUGCGACUUAAGAAAACAGAAGCGUUGCUUUGAAUUUAAACAGCUCCAAAGCCACAACCCAUCUCUUCUGGGCUGGGGAGGGAAAGCCUGGCAACCCGGCUCCGGCCUUUGUGUUUACUUGUUCCAGUUUCUGUAGAAAAUCAAAGGCCUUGAUUCUAAGUUCUGUCAUCCAAAAAGGGUAUUGUGCAGACCAGUGCUCUCAAGAACACCUCAUUCACCAAGCCCAUCGUGUCAGUGGAAGUGAUUCCCAGCAGCUGCUGAAUGAGCACUGAGGCACCACAAGGAGCUCAGCCAAGUCAGACAGAUGUGGGGGCACCCCCAAGUCAUGGUGAGACACGUGGCACAGAGGACCCCAAAAGUGAAGACAUCAAAUGGAUACUUUCUGAGUCCAGCUUUGUUCGAAGAUUGUUUUCUUGUGAUCAUCAAUUAUACAGACACAUGUUAAAACCACUCUAAAAGAAAGCAAAUGUUGCUGGCCUCGAACUCACAGAGAUCCGCCUGCCUCUGCCUCCCAAGUGCUGGAUUAAAGGCAUGUGCCUCUAACGCCCGGCUUGCAAGUGUCUGACUUUUAUGUGAACAUAUAUAGGAGACACAUUGCUGCUUCUCCUCCUCUUUCUCCUUCUGCUCUUCAUCUUCAUCCUCCUUCUCUUGGUUCUCUAGAUGGAGCCCAGGGCUUCCCAUCCCCAGGACAGAUUUUUCCAUAGGAAUGAGUGAUGUGAUUGAAAUUCUUCAGAACAUGACAAGUGUAUGUUCAUCCCUCCCUUGUUGUUUACAAAGAAGUGCAGAAGACCGGGGUGAAAAGGAAGAGAGUCAAAAUUCGGUUGUUUUGGGAGAGUGUGAUAUAGGUAAUGUGCCAUGUGUCACUGAAGCAAAUUUUCUUCUGCCUAAUUCGUAAGUUCAUUUCCAUCCCUCAUUUUUGCCCAUUAAACUGGGGAAGCGAAUAUGUGACAGAAGACACCUCUCAACAAAUACAUUGUUUCAAAUUCAUUUGGAAAGCUGUCCCGUGCUACAGUCUCGCCAGCAAGAACGACGCGGCACACUCAGGAUCCUUCUGCAGUAAAGCUUUAAUGCAUCUUGAAAGGGAGAGCAUAAGCUUACAGAGCAGAGACCCCAAAUACCCAAAAACCCAUCUCUUAUAUAGGCUGGCAGCCGCCGCCUAGGACAUGUCACCCCCUGACUGGCUGCAGCUCAUCGGACCACAUGACGCCACGGGAGAGGCAGAGACCAAGGGAUGGAAAGUUACCCAGCGCCUGCGCACUAACUUGUUUACCAUUCGGUGUCUGCCGGAUGCCGGCGCCAUCUUGUAAUGGAGAAUGCAGGGACAGCUCCUUACAUCUCCCCCUUUUUUAUUAAUUAAUGAUAAGGCUUCAUAUUUUUACAAGCAAGUAGGUCACCCAUACAUUGAGGGAUAGAGGCAGAGGUUGUACCUCCCAAAUCAUACAAUAAGACUGUGUACGAGAGUCGCCACUAGGCUGUUAGCUUGACCCGAAGCGCUCUCGACCUGUCCUCCACCGUUUUUCUGGGAAAGGGAAACUGGGGCAGGCAACCCUUAUGCAGGACAACAUGCCUCCCAGAGAAGCCUGCAUAUUAGGCAAUUCUCUGUGCGAUGCUUUGCUCGAUAUCCCUCAUGGGCUGCUCAAGCCAGACACUCUACCCUGUGCAAUGAGCCUAGGCUCCGGGUGUGCAAGAGCUGUCUGGCCGGCGGCCUAUUGCUUAAGCAUUGUUCAGUGGAAGCCCCUUGUUCCAAGGCUACAAGCGCUUGGGCGAUAACCACCUUGUCCCUCUUAGUUUGAGCCCUGAGCCUACAGACCAGCCAGAGAAGCAACACCAAUCCGCAGCAAACGGCUGCACUAAACAAUCCCACCCCCACCCAUUCCUUAAAAUAGGAGACAGCUGAUGCAAUCCAUGAUGACAGUCCCUCUGUCAAGGACAGGUCAAGGCGCAUGGAGUUAAUCUGGAUAAUAGCGGCUCUCAACUCCCGAACCGUUUGCUCAAAUUCGGAGGUCCAGUUCUGUAACAUGAACUGAGAAAGGCUUUUAGACAGAUUAGCUGCUUUGGUAAAAUUCUCAUAUUGGAUGGAGGUGACACAUAGGCCGGGGAGCUUCUGCUCACAGCCUAGUUGGGCCAUCUGCCAUAAUAUGUCCAAUUGUUCCUGCACUAAGUCAAUGUGCUGGUUUACCAGCAUCAGGCCUCCCUGUAUCUGAAUGUUUGUAGAGGCCUGUCUGUCCAAAGCCUCGGAAACAGUGGCCGACAAACCAUUAAUGGUCUGUGCAGUUUGUACAGAGGUUGACGGCGCAAGGGCAGAGGCUGUCAGCAGCUAACCCUGCAUUAGUAAGGGGUCCCCCAAGUUCUCUACAGACCCUAAGCCAAUCUUGUAAUCCUUUGUUUUUUCUCGGGGCUAUAGCUGUGCAACAUUCUUGGGUGGCCUGUUCAAAGAUAAGUUGCUCAACAAGAGGUGCGGCCUGCUCAGGAUCGCCAAAGAUCCGUCCCGCUGCCUCUGUCAUCCUUGCUACAAAAUCAGAGAAAGGCUCCUGGGUUCCUUGAAUGAUUUUAGUAAGCUGAUUGUCAACCCCUCCUUUCUCGGAGAGCGCCUUCCAGGCCCUAAUGGCCGAGUUGGCGAUUUGUGGAUAAGCGCCCCAAUGAUAAUUUGUUUGAUCAGCUGCAAAACGACCCUGGCCCGUUAACAGGUCGAAUGUCCAUAGUUGUUGUUCAGGAGUUAAGGCCGUCGCGUUAGCUCUGGCCUGCUCUUGGGUGGCCUCAUGCCAGAGCGCUUUCCAUUCCAUGUAUUGGCCCAUACUGACAAGUGCAGCUUUUGCGACCAUCUGCCAGUCAGAUGGCGUCAAAGCAUUUAGGGCAAGUCUAUCCAUUUGUGCAAGAGUAAAAUUGGCUGUGACUCCAUAUUUCCUGACUGAUUCUGCCAAUUCUUUUAUCUGAUUAUAUUCCACGGGCGCAUGCAUCCGCUCUCCCUCAAUGCCCUCAAAGACGGGAAAAGCCAGGCGCAGCUUUCUUUUUACCUUUUCCGGAAGAAAAGAAUAAGACUUCGGGCGCGUCUCAUAGGGAGGGGGCGCCGAAGGAACAACCUGUGAGAGGGCUGUUUGAAACUGCCGUCUUCGAGGUUUUUUGCUAUUUUGUAUAUGGUCAUCCGGAUGGUAUCUUUCUUCCUCAUAUUUAGCAGCCUCCUCAUCUAGCUCAGCUUCUUCCUCAGUAUUUAAGACCUCAUCUCCUGAGCUUUCAGAGUCAUCAGAGCUAUCAAGAUUUAAGGCUUCAAGCUCAUGUACAGGGUAUAAGCCAGCUCCUCCCUUUGAUUUAAUAACAGGGGGAGGAUCCCUAGGAUCUGACAAAUACACCCCCUUGUCAUUAGACUCACCGGGGGUGGGGGGGGGGGACUUUUUCCUUCUUGUAGACGGUUUUUUUCUUGCGCGCGCGCCCAACCUCUCACUACGCUCGGUUUCUGACAUGCUAUCCUGGACCUCUUCAAGGGUGCUACAACAGCGAAAAAGAUCAAGAUGGCUUCGAGGACAAGCACAAAAGCCUCGACACUACCUUCCCAAGGUGGUGACAAUCCCAAGCCAAAGUCCAGAAAAGACAUACCUCUCCGAAUCGUACCUGCCUGCAGUUCUGAAUCCUCCUUGUAGCCAAGGGGUCUCCGAUGGUGCUGACGAUGAUGAGGUCUCGAUUCCCGGGUUUCGGCACCAGUUGUUCCGCGCUACCGUCUCGCCAGCAAGAACGACGCAGCACACUCAGGAUCCUUCUGCAGUAAAGCUUUAAUGCAUCUUGAGAGGGAGAGCAUAAGCUUACAGAGCAGAGACCCCAAACACCCAAAAACCCAUCCCUUAUAUAGGCUGGCAGCCGCCGCCUAGGACAUGUCACCCCCUGACUGGCUGCAGCUCAUCGGACCACAUGACGCCACGGGAGAGGCAGAGACCAAGGGAUGGAAAGUUACCCAGCGCCUGCGCACUAACUUGUUUACCAUUCGGUGUCUGCCGGAUGCUGGCGCCAUCUUGUAAUGGAGAAUGCAGGGAUGGCUCCUUACAGAAAGCAAGCUUGAGCUACAGAGGGAAUGACUUUUCCUUAUUAGUGAUGCCAUGCUACUACUCUCCCGAUAAUAUAUUGGGAUAUACAUGAUUUUUUUGAAGUCGGUCAACUAUUGACAUAUUAUUGCUUCCUGCAAGUAAGAUCAGAUAGUACAAACCAGAAAGUAACAGUUUAAUGGAAGUUGUGGGCAAUUUAAUAAGAUACAAUUUCACACCUAGCACAAAAAAAUGUAGAAUUAUAUUAUAUUAUAUUUCUACAUAUUCUUACCACAAUCUAUAAAAUCUCCCCAUAACCACCAUGCUGAAGGAUGCUCAGCAGGCAACCUGGCAAAAUCAGAGAAUUUAGCAGUUUAUUUUGAAGUGUUUAUCUAAUUAUUUUUUAACAAUAAAAACUCAGGAGUCAGAUAUCAGGGUAAGAACCCGAAUCAUAAGUGGCAGAGAAGCAACAGGUGACCUCCACUCUCUUGUUCCUUAAUCCCAGAAGGGCAAGAUCCUCUCUAAGCCUUGCCCUACUACUUCCUGUGUCUCUCUUCCUGUCCUUAGUCCUCCAAAACCUCUAUGGUUAAUUUUGGUCAGCUAGUAGCUAGCUCUGCCCUCUGAUUCAAAGCAGAUUUUAUUGUCAGUCUUUGGAGCAUCAGGAUUCUAUCAAAAUAUCACACAACAUUAUUUCUUUGUACAAGCUGCUUCAGCAAACAGUACAAGAUUUUGAGGUCAAACUUGGAGGUAAAAUCAACCAAUAAGUCUCAAGAGUCCAGUGUUCGGUGCAUUUCUGUUAAGUGAGACAUGGAGGAAAAGGUUAACAACAUGGUUGCAUCUUAAAUUGAACAAGAAAAGUUAAGCUUGUUUUGAAGAGUGCGAAUAAGCAAUGUUCCAGCAGAUGAAAUAAGCAGGUUGAUGGGUCAGGGAAGAACUUUAAACCCUGCCUGCCUUAUCCACCUGAUGCUUUAUGUCAAAUGUAGGGGAAAUACCUCAUCAGGCCCCACAGGCAUCUGGAGGAAGCACCUUGACUGCUGUAGGCUCUGAGCAUUCUGUCCUACAUUGAUGUAGGACAGAAUCUGUUAAGUCAGGAUUGUCACAGCAGCCAUGCCAGCAAGUGCUUCCCCUUUUUCUCAUGCACCACGGCUAUAACCGAGUCAUCAAGUGUAUUAGUCAGCCCUGAUAGACUGCAGGCCAAGCCUGUGACAGCUUGGGCCCCACUGAGGGGAGAAGGUAAAUGGAGGAAAGUGUGUGGCUUUGGUGCAAAAGAAUACACGGGUAAGCCCUGAGUUUUCCUCAUCAAGCAGCGCAUGUGGGUAGCUGGUAACUUACAAAGGUUUUUAAACAUGUGCACCUCUGAACUUCAGGCCCUUCUGCCCCAGGAUAGGAAUUUAGUAUGUGUUUAGUAAGUCUUAAUAAGAACUAAAUGAAGUGGCAGUGUUAAAGCUUUUGGGACACAUGCAUCAUAAGCUGUGUAAUGGCAUUAUAAAGUUCCUGAGGUUGGCCCAUGAUCCACCGCUAGCCAGCCUUGGAGAUUUGGCAACAAGGCCAUAGCUUGUCAAGUUUCCUCUGACCUGGUAGAUAAAUAGACAGGGACACCCUCCUUUCUGAGUCUCCAUCCCUCUUGGACAAGAACUGUGAAGGUCACAUGUUCUCAGGGGGCUCUUCACCAGGUCUGGAGGCAGAUGCCUCAGCAUUUUAGAUAUGUUUUUGUGACUUUUUAUGGCCCUAUACUUGAUCAUUUAUUGUAAAACAAUCUUUCUUGAAUUUUGCAACAUGAGGCAAAGCAGUUAGCUUCCCCAAAUCUCUUAUUCUUCAUUCUAUGUCAGCAGCUCUCAGCCUGAGGGUUGAAACCCUUUUUAGAGGUGGAAUGACGCUUUUACAGGGGUCACAUAUCAGAUAUUUACAUUAUGAUUUUAAAAAGUAGCAAAAUGACAGUUAUGAAGUAGUGACAAAAGUAUUUUUAAUGGUUGGGGUUACUACCCCAUGAGGAAUGGUAUUAAAGGGUCACAACAUUAGAGAGGUUGAAAACCACUGUCCGAAGUAACGAUUGAGGCACACAUCUUAAGACUUUUGAGAGAUCGACUCUGAACACAGAUAUACCAAGAACUUCCUGAGUUGUACCCUGGGCAGUCCCGACCCCUGAAUCUUUGUCCGUAUAUCUCAGAGUGCAGUUGUCUAGCUCCAGUGGAGGAGGCCUGCUUGGCCUAGAAAGCUGGCCCAAGCCCAUCGAAAAAUCAGGGGAAAGCAGCUGUUCCUGAAGUCUCCUCCCCUUUCCCGUAAGAUGUCUUGUGGUGACCCUCACAGAUAGUUACCCAUACUCAAGUUCCCUCAAUCUUCUGAUGGUUAUAGAGGAGCCAAAACCUAGGACUUAUAACAAAUGUCCAGACUGAGGAGUUUUGGUUCCUGAACAAAGUGCCUUUUCUUUGGGUCUCUGAUUCUAAAAAUACAUCACAGUUUUAAGGGCUGUAUUCCAUCCAGGGGAAAAGGGAAGCAAAAAGAAAAGACAGCCCUGGAUGAAAUGUGAGGGUAAAUGGUGAAGUCAUAGGCCUAAGGCCUGAGAUCUGGGUCCAAGUGCUGCCUCGCAGACACAUUGCCCUUCCCUCUUUACAGUUUCUCCAUGUUUGGCAGCAUGUGGUUUAGCCAAGCAGCCCAGGUUUGGCACCUGGACUCCUGGAUAGAAAAUUAAGGGUUCAUUACUCUCUAACUACACAUUUUGGCAUGGCAGGAGAAUAUACUUAGCUUUUGCAGAGUUUCGUCACCUCAGAUAAUGACGAUAAUGACACUCAAACGUAUGCUAUAUGAAAAAUUUGUGAGCUGUCUGGCAUUAAACAGGUAUUCAAUAAAAACCUAUGAUCUAC